rnacentral:misc_RNA from 1 species
CCCAACUAUCCCUAUUAAUCAUUAUAUCGAUCCUAGAAACCAACAAAAUAGAAUCAAACGUCCUAUUUCAUUAUUCCAUGCUAAUGCAUUCAAGUGCGAGCCUGCUUUAAACACUCUAAUUUUUUCAAAAUAACAGUCCUGAUUCCCCAUGACACCAAAUUAAUGACAUCAUGGUUCUUCAGAAGGAAGAAAUCAAAAUUGCCAGUACGUACCGAGGCACGACCAACAAAUUGAUCUCGAAAUUCAGCUACGAGCUUUUUAACUGCAACAACUUUAAUAUACGCUAUUGGAGCUGGAAUUACUGCGGCUGCUGGCACCAGACUUGCCUCCAA